GCACAAGCGGUGGAGCAUGUGGUUUAAUUCGACGCAACGCGAAGAACCUUACCAGGGCUUGACAUCCCCUGACCGCGUAUGAAAGUACGUUUUCACCCUCGGGUGACAGGGAGACAGGUGGUGCAUGGUUGUCGUCAGCUCGUGUCGUGAGAUGUUGGGUUAAGUCCCGCAACGGGCGCAACCCUUACGUUUAGUUGCUAACGCGUGAAGGCGAGCACUCUAGACGAACUGCCGUUGACAAAACGGAGGAAGGUGGGGAUGACGUCAAAUCAUCAUGCCCCUUAUGUUCUGGGCUACACACGUGCUACAAUGGCCGGUACAGACGGACGCAAAGCCGCGAGGUGGAGCAAAUCCUAAAAAGCCGGUCUCAGUUCGGAUUGCAGGCUGCAAUUCGCCUGCAUGAAGUCGGAAUCGCUAGUAAUCGCAGGUCAGCAUACUGCGGUGAAUACGUUCUCGAGUCCU
rnacentral:rRNA from 1 species